rnacentral:rRNA from 1 species
UACGUAGGCAGCAAGCGUUGUUCGGAGUUACUGGGCGUAAAGAGUGCGUAGGCGGUUCUCUAAGUUCGUUGUGAAAUCUCCCGGCUCAACUGGGAGGGUGCGGCGAAGACUGGGGAGCUGGAGUGUGGGAAAGGCAAGCGGAAUUCCUGGUGUAGCGGUGAAAUGCGUAGAUAUCAGGAGGAACACCGGCGGUGUAGACGGCUUGCUAGACCAUGACUGACGCUGAGGCACGAAAGCGUGGGGAGCAAACAGG